GGCUGUAGAACACCGAACACUGAACAGUAACCAUACAACAUUAAUUUUUAACGUUUUCGUUUAAGUUUUUCGCACGCGAAUAAUUGCGUUCGCACGGUGUGAGGUGUCUUCUGGAGUCCAGAACCUAGACUUACAGUCGUGAUUGUUUCAUAGUCGCGACGCUGACUGUUAACGUUAUUUUUUUUUUCGUUUUGUACGUCUGUAAUCGUCAGUGAUGUUCUUAUAUGGCUCUUUUUCAGCGAACCAUUGCUCGUCAAAAUACCAAAAAACCAAAUUUUUCAUUCUGUUUUUUUUUUUUUUUAAGUUCGUGGAUUUAAAUUCAUUUGGUGAUUGUGCUGAUUUAAUAAACUGGAUAAUGUGUAAUACAGAAAUUAUAACUACAGAGAAUGCGAUGUACAUGGCAAAUUUACUGUUUUCACAUGGUUUCUUUUUCUCGAUCACUCGCCAGCAGCCAAGGUGACAAAUGACGAACACCGUUACCGUUUUCAAGCGAGCACAGAGUUCAGGAGGUUCAGACUGAUGUUGCUGGAAUACGACUGAUUCCCCCUGGGGACGAGCGCGGACGGCUUGCCCGCUUGUGGCUACCAAAACUGUCCACUCAGCGGAAUGUCAUAUGCUGUCGUCAUGCUCGUUCCAACGGGUACUUAGGUACAUAUAUAUAGAUAUAUAUACAUUACAUAUUACAUAUAUAAUAAGAAAUUGCUUACGAUUAACUACUUCUAAAAUCUAAAGGAAAUGGUUUUUAACACCUCCCAACUUAAUGGAAAGAUGGUGGCUAAAUAGUUACCAUUUUUCUCCUUUGCUUAAUUAAGUAGUAAUUUCUGAAAAACUGCAAGCCACAACGCUGUGCGGAAUAUACAAUUUCUAUUUCACAUGAAGUUCUGCAAUGUCCAGUACAUACAAUUUCGAUACACUACAUUUAUAUUUAAUAAUUAAAUACAAACUUAUGAUUAUUAACAUGAUAACAAUAAUAUUAAGCAUUAUAAUAUAAUGCUCGGGUUUCACAAAAAUAUUUGUCGUGGUAUCCUUGUAUAAUUCCUCAAGUUGAUUGAAUUCUUAGGCAUCCUAAGCUAAUUUAUUGAAAUUUGUAUAAUACACAUGAUUACCGAUUUACUGAGGUUCAUGAUAUUCAAUGAUUUUCUUAAGAGAUAUCAAAUGAUUGAGACUCGGGCUAUUGGGUAUGAAAUCUUUAUGAACCUGUGUUCUUAAAUUCCUAAUUGGCGUGAGUAUUGAGUAGUCGGUGUAGACUCACAAUACUCUAUAAUCUCUAAUUUUCCUACAUCAGUUAGUACUACUUUAAACGAUUUUUGACGACACGCGACUGUGACUACCUGAUGGGUAACAUAAUAUAACAACAAGAUUUGAUUUUAGAGCUUAUGCCACAUGGCUGUAUUCACACUCAAGUACCUGAGAUUACAUAAUAUUCUAACAGUUUUUCUGGAUUAAUGUACAAAGACACCUCACAAUUAUCUGUUUAAACGGAAACUUCAAUGAAAGUCUACUAAUUUAU